UACGUAGGUGGCAAGCGUUGUCCGGAUUUAUUGGGUUUAAAGGGUGCGUAGGCGGCUUUUUAAGUCAGUGGUGAAAGCCGAUCGCUUAACGAUCGAACUGCCAUUGAUACUGAGAGGCUUGAGUAUAGUUGAGGUAGGCGGAAUUGACAGUGUAGCGGUGAAAUGCAUAGAUAUUGUCAAGAACACCAAUUGCGAAGGCAGCUUACUAAAGUAUAACUGACGCUGAUGGACGAAAGCUAGGGGAGCGAAAGGG
rnacentral:rRNA from 1 species